AUUGAACGCUGGCGGCACGCCUUACACAUGCAAGUCGAACGGCAGCACGGGAGCAAUCCUGGUGGCGAGUGGCGAACGGGUGAGUAAAGUAUCGGAACGUGCCCAGUCGAGGGGGAUAACGUAGCGAAAGUUACGCUAAUACCGCAUACGAUCUAUGGAUGAAAGCGGGGGAUCGCAAGACCUCGCGCGAUUGGAGCGGCCGAUAUCAGAUUAGGUAGUUGGUGGGGUAAAGGCCAACCACGCCGACGAUCUGUAGAUGGUCUGAGAGGACGACCAGCCACACGUGGACUGAGACACGGCCCAGACUCCUACGGGAGGCAGCAGUGGGGAAUUUUGGACAAGGGGCGAAAGCCUGAUCCAGCCAUGCCGCGUGCAGGAUGAAGGCCUUCGGGUUGUAAACUGCUUUUGUACGGAACGAAAAGGACUGCCCUAAUACGGUGGUCCCAUGACGGUACCGUAAGAAUAAGCACCGGCUAACUACGUGCCAGCCGCCGCCGUAA
rnacentral:rRNA from 1 species